GAUCCAGCCAUGCCGCGUGUGUGAAGAAGGCCUUCGGGUUGUAAAGCACUUUCAGUGAGGAAGAAAGCCUUGAGGUUAAUACCCUCGAGGGAGGACAUCACUCACAGAAGAAGCACCGGCUAACUCCGUGCCAGCAGCCGCGGUAAUACGGAGGGUGCGAGCGUUAAUCGGAAUUACUGGGCGUAAAGCGCGCGUAGGCGGCUUGAUAAGCCGGUUGUGAAAGCCCCGGGCUCAACCUGGGAACGGCAUCCGGAACUGUCAGGCUAGAGUGCAGGAGAGGAAGGUAGAAUUCCCGGUGUAGCGGUGAAAUGCGUAGAGAUCGGGAGGAAUACCAGUGGCGAAGGCGGCCUUCUGGACUGACACUGACGCUGAGGUGCGAAAGCGUGGGUAGCAAACAGGAUUAGAUACCCUGGUAGUCCACGCCGUAAACGAUGUCGACUAGCCGUUGGGCUCCUUGAGAGCUUUGUGGCGCAGUUAACGCGAUAAGUCGACCGCCUGGGGAGUACGGCCGCAAGGUUAAAACUCAAAUGAAUUGACGGGGGCCCGCACAAGCGGUGGAGCAUGUGGUUUAAUUCGAUGCAACGCGAAGAACCUUACCUACCCUUGACAUCGAGAGAACUUUCCAGAGAUGGAUUGGUGCCUUCGGGAACUCUCAGACAGGUGCUGCAUGGCUGUCGUCAGCUCGUGUUGUGAAAUGUUGGGUUAAGUCCCGUAACGAGCGCAACCCUUGUCCCUAUUUGCCAGCGAUUCGGUCGGGAACUCUAGGGAGACUGCCGGUGACAAACCGGAGGAAGGUGGGGACGACGUCAAGUCAUCAUGGCCCUUACGGGUAGGGCUACACACGUGCUACAAUGG
rnacentral:rRNA from 1 species